CAGUAGCCGCGGGAAUACGUAGGUCCCGAGCGUUGUCCGGAAUUAUUGGGCGUAAAGGGCUCGCAGGCGGUUUCUUAAGUCUGAUGUGAAAGCCCCCGGCUCAACCGGGGAGGGUCAUUGGAAACUGGGAAACUUGAGUGCAGAAGAGGAGAGUGGAAUUCCACGUGUAGCGGUGAAAUGCGUAGAGAUGUGGAGGAACACCAGUGCGAAGGCGACUCUCUGGUCUGUAACUGACGCUGAGGAGCGAAAGCGUGGGGAGCGAACAGGAUUAGAUACCCCUGUAGUCCCUGUCUCUUAUACA
rnacentral:rRNA from 1 species